AUAGUACUCCCUCCGUCCCAAAAUUCUUGUCUUAGAUUUGUCUAGAUACGGAUGUAUCAAGUCACGUUUUAGUAUUAGAUACAUCCGUAUCUAGACAAAUCUAAGACAAGAAUUUUGGGACGGAGGGAGUAAUUA
rnacentral:pre_miRNA from 1 species